AACGAACGCUGGCGGCGCGCCUAAUACAUGCAAGUCGAGCGAGAAGACGUAGCAAUACGUUUGUAAAGCGGCGAACGGGUGAGGAAUACAUGGGUAACCUACCCUCGAGUGGGGAAUAACUAGCCGAAAGGUUAGCUAAUACCGCGUACGCUCCUUGGACUUCGGUUCAGGGAGGAAAGCGAUACCGUGGGUAUCGCGCUCUUGGAUGGGCUCAUGUCCUAUCAGCUUGUUGGNGAGGUAACGGCUCACCAAGGCUUCGACGGGUAGCUGGUCUGAGAGGACGAUCAGCCACACUGGCACUGCGACACGGGCCAGACUCCUACGGGAGGCAGCAGUAAGGAAUAUUGCGCAAUGGGCGAAAGCCUGACGCAGCGACGCCGCGUGGGGGAUGAAGGUCUUCGGAUUGUAAACCCCUUUCGGGAGGGAAGAUGGAACGAGCAAUCGUUCGGACGGUACCUCCAGAAGCAGCCACGGCUAACUUCGUGCCA
rnacentral:rRNA from 1 species